rnacentral:rRNA from 1 species
AUUGAACGCUGGCGGCAGGCCUAACACAUGCAAGUCGAGCGAGCGGCGGACGGGUGAGUAAUGUCUGGGAAACUGCCUGAUGGAGGGGGAUAACUACUGGAAACGGUAGCUAAUACCGCAUACCAUCAGAUGUGCCCAGAUGGGAUGGGCUAGUAGGUUGGGUAACGGCUCACCUAGGCGACGAUCCCUAGCUGGUCUGAGCGGAUGACCAGCCACACGGGAACUGAGACACGGUCCAGACUCCUACAGGAGGCAGCGGUGGGGAAGAGGGCACAAUGGGCGCAAGCCUGAAGCAGCCAUGCCGCGUGUGUGAAGAAGGCCUUCGGGUUGUAAAGCACUUUCAGCGGGGAGGCGUUACGCGCAGAAGAAGCACCGGCUAACUCCGUGCCAGCAGCCGCGGUAAUAC